CUGCCAGAUCUUUGUAAGUCGCUCUGGAUAAGAGCGUCUGCUAAAUGACGUAAA
rfam:Salmo salar isolate Sally breed double haploid chromosome ssa22, whole genome shotgun sequence.